rnacentral:rRNA from 1 species
AUUGAUUUUAUGCUUGCAUAAAUGAUUUUUGGAUUCGGAGCGAGUGGCGAACUGGUGAGUAACACGUGGGUAACCUGCCCCGAAGCGGGGGAUAACAUUUGGAAACAAGUGCUAAUACCGCAUAAUUAGUUGGAACCGCAUGGUUCCAACUUGAAAGAUGGCCCUGCUAUCACUUUGGGAUGGACCCGCGCCGUAUUAGUUAGUUGGUGAGAUAAAAGCCCACCAAGACGAUGAUACGUAGCCGACCUGAGAGGGUAAUCGGCCACAUUGGGACUGAGACACGGCCCAGACUCCUACGGGAGGCAGCAGUAGGGAAUCUUCCACAAUGGACGAAAGUCUGAUGGAGCAACGCCGCGUGAGUGAUGAAGGUUUUCGGAUCGUAAAACUCUGUUGUUAAAGAAGAACAAGUGUUAGAGUAACUGUUAACACUUUGACGGUAUUUAACCAGAAAGCCACGGCUAACUACGUGCCAGCAGCCGCGGUAAUACGUAGGUGGCAAGCGUUGUCCGGAUUUAUUGGGCGUAAAGCGAGCGCAGGCGGUUUUGUAAGUCUGCUGUGAAAGCCCUCAGCUCAACUGAGGAAGUGCAGUGGAAACUACAAAACUUGAGUACAGAAGAGGAAAGUGGAACUCCAUGUGUAGCGGUGAAAUGCGUAGAUAUAUGGAAGAACACCAGUGGCGAAGGCGGCUUUCUGGUCUGUUACUGACGCUGAGGCUCGAAAGCAUGGGUAGCGAACAGGAUUAGAUACCCUGGUAGUCCAUGCCGUAAACGAUGAAUACUAGGUGUUGGAGGGUUUCCGCCCUUCAGUGCCGCAGCUAACGCAUUAAGUAUUCCGCCUGGGGAGUACGACCGCAAGGUUGAAACUCAAAGGAAUUGACGGGGGCCCGCACAAGUGGUGGAGCAUGUGGUUUAAUUCGAUGCUACGCGAAGAACCUUACCAGCUCUUGACAUCUUCUGCCAACCCAAGAGAUUGGGCGUUCCCUUCGGGGACAGAAUGACAGGUGGUGCAUGGUUGUCGUCAGCUCGUGUCGUGAGAUGUUGGGUUAAGUCCCGCAACGAGCGCAACCCUUAUUAUUAGUUGCCAGCAUUUAGUUGGGCACUCUAGUGAGACUGCCGGUGAUAAA